rnacentral:rRNA from 1 species
GAUGAACGCUAGCUACAGGCUUAACACAUGCAAGUCGAGGGGAAACGGCAUUUAGUGCUUGCACCGAAUGGACGUCGACCGGCGCACGGGUGAGUAACGCGUAUCCAACCUACCCAUUACUGUGGGAUAACCUGCCGAAAGGCAGACUAAUACCGCAUAGUCUUCGAUGACGGCAUCAGAUUUGAAGUAAAGAUUUAUCGGUAAUGGAUGGGGAUGCGUCUGAUUAGCUUGUUGGCGGGGUAACAGCCCACCAAGGCAACGAUCAGUAGGGGUUCUGAGAGGAAGGUCCCCCACAUUGGAACUGAGACACGGUCCAAACUCCUACGGGAGGCAGCAGUGAGGAAUAUUGGUCAAUGGGCGCGAGCCUGAACCAGCCAAGUAGCGUGCAGGAUGACGGCCCUAUGGGUUGUAAACUGCUUUUGUAUGGGGAUAAAGUCAAUCACGUGUGAUUGUUUGCAGGUACCAUACGAAUAAGGACCGGCUAAUUCCGUGCCAGCAGCCGCGGUAAUACGGAAGGUCCAGGCGUUAUCCGGAUUUAUUGGGUUUAAAGGGAGCGUAGGCCGGAGAUUAAGUGUGUUGUGAAAUGUAGACGCUCAACGUCUGACUUGCAGCGCAUACUGGUUUCCUUGAGUACGCACAACGUUGGCGGAAUUCGUCGUGUAGCGGUGAAAUGCUUAGAUAUGACGAAGAACUCCGAUUGCGAAGGCAGCUGACGGGAGCGCAACUGACGCUUAAGCUCGAAGGUGUGGGUAUCGAACAGG